UGGGGAAUAUUGGGCAAUGGGCGCAAGCCUGACCCAGCAACGCCGCGUGAAGGAAGAAGGCUUUCGGGUUGUAAACUUCUUUUAUCAGGGACGAAGCAAGUGACGGUACCUGAUGAAUAAGCCACGGCUAACUACGUGCCAGCAGCCGCGGUAAUACGUAGGUGGCGAGCGUUAUCCGGAUUUACUGGGUGUAAAGGGCGUGUAGGCGGGCUUGCAAGUCAGAUGCGAAAUUCCAGGGCUCAACCCUGGAACUGCAUUUGAAACUGUAGGUCUUGAGUGCUGGAGAGGCAAUCGGAAUUCCGUGUGUAGCGGUGAAAUGCGUAGAUAUACGGAGGAACACCAGUGGCGAAGGCGGAUUGCUGGACAGUAACUGACGCUGAGGCGCGAAAGCGUGGGGAGCAAACAGGAUUAGAUACCC
rnacentral:rRNA from 1 species